rnacentral:rRNA from 1 species
UGAGGUUAAGUUAACAAGGGCGCAUGGUGAAUGCCUUGGCACUAGGAGCCGAUGAAGGACGGGACUAACACCGAUAUGCUUCGGGGAGCUGUACGUAAGCUAUGAUCCGGAGAUUUCCGAAUGGGGCAACCCAGCAGUUUUAAUCAACUGUUACCACUAGAUGAAUUCAUAGUCUAGUUGGAGGUAAACGCUGUGAA